CCUGCCAGUAACAUAUGCUUGUUUAAAGGACUAAGCCAUGCAUGUCUAAGUUUAAGCAUUUAAACGGCGAGACUGCGUACAGCUCAUUAUAUCAGAACUAAUUUACUUGAAGAUGACUUCUACAUGGAUAACUGUAGAAAUUCUAGAGCUAAUACAUGCGUAAAAUUCCGACUCUCGGGAAGGAAUGUAUUUAUUAGAUAAAAAAUCAAUGCAGGUUCACGCCUGGUUCUUUGAUGAUUCAUAAUAACUGUUCGGAGCGUAUGGCCUUGUGCUGACGCCAGUUCAUUCAAGGUUCUGCCCUAUCAGCUUUCGACGGUAGUGUAUUGGACUACCGUGGCAACGACGGGUAACGGAGAAUUAGGGUUCGAUUCCGGAGAAGGAGCCUGAGAAACGGCUACUACAUCCAAGGAAGGCAGCAGGCGCGCAAAUUGCCCAAUGUCAAUACGACGAGGCAGUGACAAAAAAUAACAAUGCCGGGCGUUCUACGUCUGGCAAUUGGAAUGAGAACAAUUUAAAUAUCUUAACGAGAAUCCAUUGGAGGGCAAGUCUGGUGCCAGCAGCCGCGGUAAUUCCAGCUCCAAUAGCGUAUAUUAAAGUUGCUGCAGUUAAAAAGCUCGUAGUUGAAUUUCUGGCUUGGCAAUUUUGGCCCGGUACGGUAACGUACUGUUUGUGCUGACUGUUGCCGGUCAUCCUUCUGGGUUUAACGUGUCGUGCCCUUCACGGGGUUGCGGCGCGCGAACCAGAUCUUUUACUUUGAAAAAAUUAGAGUGUUUAAAGCAGGCGUUUUGCUAUGAAUACAUUAGCAUGGAAUAAUAAUUUAGGACUUUGGUUCUAUUUUGUUGGUUCUAGAAUUGAAGUAAUGAUUGAUAAGGAGAGCCGGGGGCGCUCGUAUUCAAGGGCCAGAGGUGAAAUUCUUGGAUUCCUUGAAGACGAACUCAUGCGAAAGCGUUCGCCCAGUCUCUGCCUUUUAAUCAAGAACGAAAGUUGGGGGAUCGAAGACGAUCAGAUACCGUCGUAGUCUCAACCAUAAACUAUGCCGACUAGGGAUUGGACUGCGUUUCAUUUUUUAUGACCAGUUCAGCACCUUAUGAGAAAUCAAAGUCUUUGGGUUCCGGGGGGAGUAUGGUCGCAAGGCUGAAACUUAAAGGAAUUGACGGAAGGGCAC
rnacentral:rRNA from 1 species